GACGAACGCUGGCGGCGUGCCUAACACAUGCAAGUCGAACGGAAAGGUCCUGCUCUUGUGGGGUGCUCGAGUGGCGAACGGGUGAGUAACACGUGAGUAACCCGCCCCUGACUUUGGGAUAACUUCAGGAAACUGGGGCUAAUACCGGAUAGGAGCUCCUGCUGCAUGGUGGGGGUUGGAAAGAUUCGGCGGUUGGGGAUGGACUCGCGGCUUAUCAGCUUGUUGGUGGGGUAGUGGCUUACCAAGGCUUUGACGGGUAGCCGGCCUGAGAGGGUGACCGGCGACAUGGGGACUGAGAUACGGCGCAGACUGCUACGGGAGGCAGCGGUGGGGAAUAUUACACAGUAGGCGGGAGCCUGAUACAACGGCGCCGCGUGCGGGAUGACGGCCUACGGGUUGUAAACCGCUUUCGCCUGUGACGAAGCGUGAGUGACGGUAAUGGGUAAAGAAGCACCGGCUAACUACGUG
rnacentral:rRNA from 1 species